GUCAAAGUUUGAUGCUUAUCCAAUGCCUAGGGUUGAUGAACUAGUAGAGAGACUGGGUAAGACUCGGUACCUGACUAUUUUGGACCUGACGAAGGGAUAUUGGCAAGUACCUCUUACAGACAGAGCAAAAGAAAAGACUGCUUUUUCAACAUCAGGGGGAUUAGUCCAAUACAAGGUGCUACCAUUCGGGUUACAUGGGGC